CACACAACAGUUUAUACUGGUUCCUCUCACAAAACGAGAGUAGUCCAGUCCCCUUGCACUUCCAAGGGAUUUCACUAUAAUCACACAAGAUUACACCUGCUCAAGCACACAAGCAAGAGACUUCUCAACACUGCUCAAGCACACAAGCUUAAGACUUCACACUUAAGCACACAAGCUUAAGUCUCACAUUUAAGCACACAAGCUUAAGUUACACACGUAACAAUAAAGUAUAUAAAAAUAUACAAGUGCUCUUAGAUGAACCUAAAAGAGAGCAAAUACAAAUAGUACAGAGUAUUUGGCUAAAGUGCAAAAACACUUGAUAGAGGUUCAGAGCUUGUAUAUCACAGAGUUCAGAGUUUGUUAGGCGCACGUUCAAUUCUUGAUAAUUGUAUAUUUGUUGUAGCUGAAUCUUCUAGUAUAUAUACCACUAGAAGAGAGUCGUUGCAAAAAGAACCGUUGGAGUUGAUAACCUUUUGUCUUCAAGCAGUCUGUCUUGAUGCAGUUGAUUGUAUCCAAAACUAAGAAAGAGUUUCAGGUACUUUGACUACUGCAGAGUGGACUUUCCUUAUUCA
rnacentral:lncRNA from 1 species